rnacentral:lncRNA from 1 species
AUGCUCGGCGAGUACUGCGCCGACCUCUCGGACAUGCACAAGGCGCGCCACUACUACCGCGCCACCUCGCUCUCGGAGGAGGAGAAGCUCUACCUCCACCAAAUCGACGACUUCGCCACCGCCACCAUCGCCGAGUACGAGGCCAGCGUCGGCCCCGUCCCCGCCUUCGACAACCACCUCAGCCUGUUCAGCCAAGAAAUCCCACUGGAGUUCCCCGAACCCUUGGCUCCCCCUCCCGCUUCUUCGGCUUCGGCUUCGGCUUCGGCUUCGGCUUCUCACCACGAGUGAGUUCUCGCUCCUUGCACCAGCAUUCAUGGUCACUAUGCCUUGUGCCGGUUCCUUGCGAUUGCAAACUAAUUAGUCUACAGCCAUUUCAGAAUUCAGAGUAGUCUGCCUAGAACAGGCCUGUAUGUUUGCCCGGUUUCAACUCAAAAGAUGAAGUAAUGAUGUAGGCAAUGGAUAAUUGGAGAUUUUACCUCCUUGGAACUCUUCUAUGUCCGAUUGUAGUAAUCAAUUAACGGUUCAGAUUUUGUAUAGUACCAAGAUAGAUUAAUCACAGGCUAGUAGAAAUGUGCUAGUACAGUAGUACCUUGAUUUAUUCCACAGCCAGUAGAGCUGUAGAGGUGUGGUUGUAGCUCUAUUACCAUGGCUAGUAGUAAACUGGUCGUCAUCAGGGGAAUAAAAGUAGCAGCUAGGUAAAUUAUUAGGGUCGAACCAAUCUAUAAUUCGUUCCUGGCUGCCCUCAAGAUCUGCAAAGGGUCUUCACCAAUACACCCCCUCUCCGGUUUUGUCUUAGCAGCAAAAAGAUGUGACUGUCUAAAUCGAGUAAGUUAGUACUUGUUUCUUGAUCUGCUUGAGUUAAUAUCAGGUUCGCGAUCGAUUUGUUUCCUGAAUGGCCUUUCAUCCCAAACCAAAUUACCAACCUGUAGAUUAAAUUUUAGGUGUGGUGUGGCUUGGGCUGUGGAUAAUGCCUUCAGACUUGUCUGUCCUAGCUCCAAUUAUGUCUUGUUCUAUCUGCCUCGGAGCCUGGCAUUCACUAUUUCACUGCACACUUGAUUAUUCAAACUAGAAAUGAAUUACUUUAGGGUUAUAGAUAUCUUCACGUGUUCCUUUUGGUUUGAGACACCAAGAACUUGAGAGCUUUGUGAAAACAGUAAGAUCAAUCACAACCGGUGAGUACGAUGACAGGAUGCAGUUACUGAUUUAGCAGCCCUACUAAAUAGAUGUAGGUGGUAUUCCAUAGUAUAAAACCAGUAACUUGUGCUGAGAAAACAAAUAUGCCUUUGUGAACAGACAUUUGAUUGCUUUUGUUCUAUUAUAUAUUAGCUACAUAAUGUUUGUGCAUAUAUAUAGGUGGGAGCCCAGCUCUGGCUUCUGGUUCGAUCCCCCGUGCCACUUUCAACUCAAAAGUUGAAGUAGGGAUGUAGGCAGAAUGGGAGAUUCUAUCUCCUUGGGACUCUUCUACGUGUCCGAUUGUAGUAGUCACUUAACAGUUGAGGUUUGGUAUAGUACCUAGAUAGUGGUUGUAGCUCUAUUAGCUUGGCUACUAGUAGUAAAUUGUUCAGGGGCACAAAAGUAGUCGCUCGGUAUAUUGUUCAGGGUCAAACCAGUUAAUCUAUAAUUUGUUCCUUGCUGCCCUCAAGAUCUGCAAAGGAUCUUCACCAAUUAUUAUUCUCUUUCGCCGAACGUUUACCAUUGCUUUGCUACACACUGUUUAGAGCCCCUCCAGUUUUGUCUUCGCAGCGAAACAAUGUGACUGUCUAGAUGAAGUAGAAUUUUGAUCUGCUUCAGUUAAUGUCAGGUCCACCAUCGAUUUGUUUCGUGAAUGGUCUUUCAUCCCAAACAAAUGUACCAAACUCUAUAUUAAAGUGUUAGUUGUGGCGCGGCUUGAGCUUGUGGACAAUGCCUUCAGACUUCUUCAUCCUAGCUACAGUUUUGUCUUGUUCUAUCUACCUCUCAGAGCCUGGCAUUCACUAUUUGACCACGUUCUUGAUUUUUCAUAGUAGAAAUGAAUUGCUUUGGGGUUAUAGAUAUCUUCACGUGUUCCAUUUGGUUGGGGACUCGAAGAAGUGGAGAACAUCGCGAAAAUGGUAGGAUAACAUGAUAAGUACACUUGGAAAAGAGAGGCAGUUGCUGAUUUAGCAACCCUACUAAAUAGAUGUAGGUGGUAUACCAUAGUAUAACACCAGUAUACCAUAGUUAUAUUUAUAUAUUAGCUGUGCAUAUAUAUAGGUGGGAGCCCAGAUGUGGCUUCUGGUUCGACCCCCCAUGGAAGCGAGUUUAGCCACUUUGGUUAAAAUUCGUGUGGUUCCUCGGGGUCUCCGAUGUAGCUCCUUGAUAUAAUUUCGCGGGGCUCCUUGAUAUAAUCAAUUAACGGUGAUGGAUCUCAAGCUGAUGCUCGGCGAGUACUGCGCCGACCUCUUGGACAUGCACAAGGCGCGCCACUACUACCGCGCCACCUCGCUCUCGAAGGAGGAGAAGCUCUACCUCCACCAAAUCGACGACUUUGCCACCGCCACCAUCGCCGAGUACGAGGCCAACGUCGGCCCCGUCCCCGCCUUCGACAACCACCUCAGCCUGCUCAGCCAAGAAAUCCCACUGGAGUUCCCUGAACCCUUGGCUCCCCCU